UACCUCAAAGAACCACAACAGUCUGUUUCAUCCGUAUAGGAAUCAUCAGGUGGUCACCUGAUGAUUCCUAUACGGAUGAAACAGACUGUUGUGGUUCUU
rnacentral:miRNA from 1 species